UUUUGGACAAUGGGGGCAACCCUGAUCCAGCCAUGCCGCGUGAGUGAAGAAGGCCUUCGGGUUGUAAAGCUCUUUCGGACGGAACGAAAUGGGCGGGACUAAUACUCCUGUCUGAUGACGGUACCGUAAGAAGAAGCACCGGCUAACUACGUGCCAGCAGCCGCGGUAAUACGUAGGGUGCGAGCGUUAAUCGGAAUUACUGGGCGUAAAGCGUGCGCAGGCGGUUUCGUAAGCUGGAGGUGAAAUCCCCGGGCUUAACCUGGGAAUGGCCUUCAGGACUGCGAGGCUAGAGUGCGGCAGAGGGAGGUGGAAUUCCACGUGUAGCAGUGAAAUGCGUAGAGAUGAGGAGGAACACCGAUGGCGAAGGCAGCCUCCUGGGCCAGCACUGACGCUCAUGCACGAAA
rnacentral:rRNA from 1 species